UUUAAUUAUACACACAAGUUUUACUGGCCUGUCUUGGACAAUGAAGUGUUUAAAGGGGUGGGGAAAUGAACUCCGGAAAGCAUACUGCAGAACAGAGAUAUUCGGUUACAAUCCUACUGGAUAACAAAAAGCAGCAGGGCUUCAAAUGGAAAUCUUAAUGUUGUUAUUGUUUGGCAUAUUUGCUGAAUGCAUGAAUGACUAUACAACUGCCAAAAACUGAGCGUGAACAGAUUUGCUGUCAACCAAACAGCUCCAAGCUACAAAAAUAGUUAGUUUGGAGUCAAUAAUUUUGCUGUGUUUCCAAAAAAGUAUCCUAUCAGUGUAUAAUGGGAGGGAAAUAACUACUACACCAGUGGAGUGCAAAUCCUCCGACGUUACAGCAGGGGAACAAACAGACUCGCAGAUGAACCAGCAUGAGUCACUCGGGAAGCAAGAAAGCAGAGCAACUCAG